rnacentral:rRNA from 1 species
GAUGAACGCUAGCUACAGGCUUAACACAUGCAAGUCGAGGGGAAACGAUAGAGAAAGCUUGCUUUUUCUAGGCGUCGACCGGCGCACGGGUGAGUAACGCGUAUCCAACCUGCCCAUCACUUGGGGAUAACCUUGCGAAAGUAAGACUAAUACCCAAUGACGUCUCUGGAAGACAUCUGAAGGAGAUUAAAGAUUUAUCGGUGAUGGAUGGGGAUGCGUCUGAUUAGCUUGUUGGCGGGGUAACGGCCCACCAAGGCGACGAUACAUAGGGGGACUGAGAGGUUGAACGGCCACAUUGGGACUGAGAUACGGCCCAGACUCCUACGGGAGGCAGCAGUGGGGAAUAUUGGGCAAUGGGCGCAAGCCUGACCCAGCAACGCCGCGUGAAGGAAGAAGGCUUUCGGGUUGUAAACUUCUUUUAAGAGGGAAGAGCAGAAGACGGUACCUCUAGAAUAAGCCACGGCUAACUACGUG